rnacentral:rRNA from 1 species
UACGGGGGGAGCAAGCGUUGUUCGGAUUUACUGGGCGUAAAGGGCGCGUAGGCGGUCAGCACAAGUCAGUUGUGAAAUCUCCGAGCUUAACUCGGAAAGGUCAACUGAUACUGUGCGACUAGAGUGCGGAAGGGGCAACUGGAAUUCUUGGUGUAGCGGUGAAAUGCGUAGAUAUCAAGAGGAACACCUGCGGCGAAGGCGGGUUGCUGGGCCGACACUGACGCUGAUGUGCGAAAGCUAGGGUAGCAAACGGG